AUCCUUUCUGGUUCAUAAAGCGUGAUGAUUGGAUGUUCACACCAUUGCAUAACACGUGUCCCCCAUAAACCUUGUUACGACAUGGGCACAUUAUCCAUCUGACG